CCAUCAAAGUGACUGUGAAAUG
rnacentral:miRNA from 10 species